CCGCGGCCUCUUCCGGGGCAGCCCCGGUGAAGCGGGGCCGGGUGGCAAGGCUGGAAACGCUGGCGAAAGGGACCCGCCGCCACCACUGCGAAAAGGAAAAAAAGGACCGAGCGCCCGCGCCCGCGCUCUCGGCUCUCGCCCGCUGGCUGCGCUCACCUCCGCGCCCUCGCUUCUCCCCUUCCCUCGCCGGGACGCGGCCAGACCCCGGCACCCGGCGCGCAGCGCGCCCUCGCGGCCUGGAGAGCCGUUCCUGCCGCCGCCGGCUGGCCCGGUUCCCCGCAGCCCUGCGCACCGCCCCGAGGCUGCGCGUCGGACGCGGAGGCGCGGCGCCCCCUUUCCCCAGCCUCGGCCCUCUCCGCCGCCAGUCGGCGACGGGAGCCCGCGGGCCGAGCCGGAUGCCCAGGAGCCAGACCCCGCCCGCUUGCCCGCCCGCCCGGCCCGUGUAAGGGGGCGCAAGCAGCUGAGACCCGAAGCCCACCGGCUCCCGCCAGCCAGUCCCGGCCGCGAGCAUGCUCAGUCUUCGCCUCGGGAGUUGCCCUCCUGAAUUAAAGAAAAUAGAAAUAGAAAGGAAGGACUCCCGGCACCCAUGAUACAGAUUAGAGCCUCAGAGGAAAAAGCCAAGAUUGGGACUGCGGAGACCAGUGCUUCCUCCUUUCAACCGGGUUGCACUAAUUCACAAUCCAAGAAGAGAUGUGCUUGUAACCAAACAGUUACAACUAGGGUGAUUAGUGUCUAACCCAAAGGAAUGUGCCCCAAGACCUAUGUUCCCACUCACCCCCAACUCCUUAUGUGGUAAAAUAGCAUUAUGGCUCAUCACUGGGAAGCCUUCCUCUUCGGUUCCUGCUCUGCUCAUGCAGGAGGCAGUGAGUACUGGUGUCUCUAGAGAAAUGGAUCUCAGCGUUAUGGUUUGAGGGGAGCAUCUCCAGAUGGGACAGGAGGACACUGACAGAUACAGAGUCUAGUCCAGCCCCAGGGGAUCGUCUCAACCCAGGGAUUAAACCCACGUCUCCUGCUCUUCAGGUGACUUUUCCACCAUUGAGCCACCUGAGAAGCCCGGGAAUAGAACUACCGUAUGAUCCAGCAGUUCCACCUCUGGGUAUAUAGCCAAGAAAAUACAAAAACAUGAAUUUGAAAAUCCCCAUGGAUUCCAGUGUUCAUAGCAGCAUUGUUUACAAUAGUCAAGACAUGGAAACAGCCUGUGUCCAUCAACAGAUGGAUCGAUGGGCCUAGUAGGCACCAGACACCAUUUUAAACUCAUUUCAUCUUCACAACAACCCCUAGAUAACCCUCCUAGGAGGAAACAGAGGCAAAAUUGCAGAACUUCACAGAAAUCACACAACUAAAGGGAGCUAAGCCUGGAUUUCAGCUCCUGACUCCUGAGUAACACAGCCUGGAUGCUCUGCUGUGACUAUGGUUUACAUUAUCUGUUGUCCACAUUUGUAAAUUAUAUAGGAAUCCUACCAGCAUCAUCUAAUGCAGGGUUCUCAACUUCCGCAUUAUUGAUAUUUGAGACCAGCUGAUUGUCAUGAGGACUGAUGCUGAAGCUGAAACUGCAAUACUUUGGCCACCUGAUGUGAAGAGCUGAUUCAUUUGAAAAGACCCCGAUGCUGGGAAAGAUUGAGGGCAGGAGGAGAAGGAGACAAAAGAGGAUGAGAUGGUUGGAUGGAAUCAAAGACUCGAUGGACAUGAGUUUGAAUAAGCUCCAGGAAUUGGUGAUGGACAGGGUGUGGUGCAGUCCAUGGGGUCAAGAAAAGUUGGACUUGCCUGAAGAUCUGAACUGAAUUGAACUGAUUGGCAUGAAGGCUGGCCUGUGCGUUAUGGGAUUGUUUAACACCUUCCUUGAACCCUGCCCACUAGAUGCCAGUAGCACCCUGACCCCAACUCCACCACCCUCAAUUUUGACAAACCCAACAAUCUCUAGACAUUGACAGAUGUCCCUGGGCAGGGAGUGGGGUGAGAAAUAUCACCCUAUAUUGAGAAUCACUGAUCCAAAAAAUAGACUUAGGGUAAAUUUUGUAACAAAUUAUAAUGAAUGCAAAUCCCAUUUCAAAUAAAAUUACUUAGAUUUUUAAAAAUUAGGCCAGAAUUUAUUAGGUAUGAUCAGAUCAUCUUUGUUUUUCUUUGAAGACUGGGCUGGCCAAGGCUUUCUUCCAGUCAAGGUGCUUGCUUGGUCUUUCCUUCUUGUUCGCUCGUAUUUCCCUUGCAAGUACAUCUAUCUUUAAUCUAUGUACAUGUAUUUCAAAGGGGGCCUUUUCAAGUUGUUUAACCAGUUUGAGAGGAUCAGUUUAAAUUCGUCCAUGAUCGUAAUUUAAUUCCCUGGUGGCUGAGAUGGUAAAGAGUCUGCCUGCAAUGCAGGAGACCCAGGUUCGGUUCCUGGGUGGGGAAGAUCUUCUGGAGAAGGAAAUGGCAACCCACUCCAGUAUUAUUUCCUGGAGAACUCCAUGGACAGAGGAGCCUGAGGGGCUACAGUCCACGGCGCCAGAGUUGGG
ensembl:lncRNA